GAUAGCCAUUGGGUGGUUAUAUAUUAUAUUGGUCUUGGAUGGUUAUAUGAAAAAUGGACUUUGAAUGAUCUGAACAAGAAUAAUCAGUUUGGCCGAAAUUUGGUGUUUAGCAAGUGGUGCCGUGGUGGGUUGAAAUGGAUUUGGGAUGGUUUCAAGGGUAUAAAGAUGGCAGUAUGCUGCAUCUUUAAUGUUUGCAGUUUAUUAAUUCAAUUUUAUGAGGAGAAUUGGUGGGCUGUUGAUUAUGGGAUCUGUUAUAAUCCUGAUGUCGCUUCCGAAUCUGGACUUUGUAGUAAUUGUUGAUUGCAACUAUUUGACUAUUAACUUGUUAUCUGCAUAGACUUGAAGAAAAUCAUUGUUCAUGCUUAAGCCUAGAAGGUCUGCUCUCUCUAAUAUUUUAUGAUGGAAGAAAAGUUACAAAAAGGUAUUUUUUUUUAUCUCCUACAAGUCUCUUGUUCUGCAGGUUGAAUCCAUUGUGCUGAAAAUAUAUGAAGGGAGGCUUAUAGGAUAUUCAGGUUGUUAUCUAAACGUUAACGGCUUAUUGAGAUAGAUAAGCUUUUGAAAGAUAUCGAGCACUACAUUUGUUGAAAAGAAAGAUGCACUGAAGAUUUUUUUUCAGCUAUGGAAUGAUUUCUUGAAUCUUGAGCUUUUACAAUUUUUUCGGGUAAAAGGUUUUUACAAAUACACAAAACCUGCCCGAUUUCAAGGCUUUUGGUGACGAAACAACUAAAUGAAUAUGAAUUGACAAUUCUUUCCAAUUAGUAUUAAUUUUCAUCAGUUAAGAAUCGAGAAUGGGAAGGGGUUAACAUAGGAUGCAUCAGGACUGAUGACAAUGAGUUUGUGGUUGGCUUAUAAGGCGGUUAUGUUGGCGUUGCUACAGAAGAAGUGGUAACCACACACUUCAAGUUUAUAGAAACAAAUAAGGUCUAUCAGCAAUCUAUUUCAGCAGCCUACAUCCAAGACUUGCCUACUAGCAAUCUAUUUUAGUAGCCUGCAUCCAAGACUUGCCUCGAGAAAGGAUGCUUGUAGUCUUGUACAGAUGCUAGAUGAUUCGUGAUACAACUAUUCAGGCCCUUAUCAAGGCAGAAUGAUUUCAAAUUUUAGACUAUCUCUUAGCUUAUUGUUCCAAUCAAUUAUGUAGUUUGUUUGAAAUCAAACAUUUUAUGGUGUUAUCUGUUACAACUAGGCUCAUAUUGGUGAUAAGGGCUUUGUUUGAUGGCUUGAGAUCCCAUAGUGAAACUAAUCGGGUAAUCUUGAUGUGUAUCUUUUUUUCGUCACAUAUUGUUGGCUCCGCCGCAACGCGCGGGUUUUCCACUAGUGCUAAAUAAAAGGGAUUUAAAUUAUUGAAU